AAAAACAUCGCCUCUAGUUUUGAGUUUAAAGGUUCGGCCUGCCCGGUGACUUCAUGAAGUUAAACGGCUGCAGUACUCUGACUGUGCAAAGGUAGCAUAAUCAUUUGUCCAUUAAUUGUGGACUGGCAUCAACGGCUAGACGACAAACAAGCUGUCUCCCUCUACUGUAGGCUUAAUUUGACAUAUAGGUGAAGAGGCCUCUAUGAGCCAGUGGGACGAGAAGACCCUGUGGAGCUUUAGCUCAUAUUGGUUUUUGGAAAACUUGCGAGUUUUAGUUGGGGCAACUGUUUUUAUAUUGUAAAACAAAAGCAAAACCUAAAUGAUUUAAGUCUAACUGUGACCUUGAAUAUUAAAAUCAUUAGAAAAAGUUACCCCAGGGAUAACAGCGUAAUUUUCCCUGAAAGCACGUAUUGGCGGGAAAGUUUGCGACCUCGAUGUUGGAUCAAGAUAUCCUAGGCGUGCAGCAGCCUCUAAGGGUUGGUUUGUUCAACCAUUAAAAUCUUACGUGAUCUGAG
rnacentral:rRNA from 1 species